rnacentral:tRNA from 1 species
GCCGAAGUGGUGGAAUUGGUAGACACGUACGUUUGAGGGGCGUAUGACGCGAGUCGUGGGGGUUCGAGUCCCCCCUUCGGCA